AAAAACAAACAAAAAUCAACCCAAUUUUAUAUAAAGAAUACAGGAUUAUUCCCUGUUCUGAUUUUUUUUUUUAUAAAGACUCUGGUUACUGUAUUUGUUGUUCAACCUCUCCCUGGGAUUGGAUAUGAUUUUGGCCUGAAUGACAUUAGUAAACUAUUUCCUGGAAUGUCAAGGGCCUCAAUAGCCCUGUCAAGAGAGACUCUUCUUUCAGGGGCUGUGGAGAGAGAGCAAGACUGCUCUGUUAUUAUAAGUUGUGCAUUGGCAGAAGCUCCAUGCAUCUGAGAUAAUUCGCAUGUGUCCAAUGAGCGUGAUCUACAGCUCUAGGGAGGUUUUCAAGAUUGCAUGAUGGCACUGUGUAAGAAUCUCCUUUGGGGUGGGGGGAGAGGGAAGAGGUUUUCUUUUUUUAUUUUUUUUCCUCCCUCUUCCUCAGCCUCAUUUCAAAGCAGUUCACCCUGUAGGCUAACGUCUCCACAUGCUGAGAGCACACAGCUGACCAUGUUGCUUCUGUGGCUGCCGAUCUCAUUAGUCGAGAGUAUCAGCAGUCUGCAUGGGUGGAAACAGGUUAUUUCAAAGCAAGACCAGAAAACCAAUGCCUGGAGAAGAGACUUGCCUAAGGACACCCAGCGAGUGUGUGGCAUGGCUCUGAUGAGAAGCCAGGCUGUUUAACUACAAGUCUUUCCUCCCCACCAAAGAGAGUGGAAGCUCCUUGAAUCAGGAAGCACUUUGUUUGGUCACCAGUCAAGAUGCCUGCCACAUAACGGUCGUAAUUUAUUGAAUAAUAAAUUCUUGUAAAUUGAA